UAGUCCACGCUGUAAACGAUGAGAACUAGCUGUUGGGUAUUAAUAUUUAGUGGCGCAGUUAACGCGAUAAGUUCUCCGCCUGGGGGGUACGGCCGCAAGGUUAAAACUCAAAUGAAUUGACGGGGGCCCGCACAAGCGGUGGAGCAUGUGGUUUAAUUCGAUGCAACGCGAAGAACCUUACCUACCCUUGACAUCCUGCGAAUCCUGUAGAGAUACGGGAGUGCCUUCGGGAAUGCAGAGACAGGUGCUGCAUGGCUGUCGUCAGCUCGUGUUGUGAAAUAUUGGGUUAAGUCCCGUAACGAGCGCAACCCUUGUCCUUAGUUGCCAUCAUUGAGUUGGGGACUCUAGGGAGACUGCCGGUGUUAAACCGGAGGAAGGCGGGGAUGACGUCAAGUCUUCAUGGCCCUUACGCCCAGGGCUACACACGUGCUACAAUGGGGGUACAGAGGGUAGCUACCUGGUAACAGGAUGCCAAUCUCAAAAAGCCUCUCUCAGUUCGGAUUGAGGUCUGCAACUCGA
rnacentral:rRNA from 1 species